AGAAACCGCUGCGUGAGGCCCAAGUGACAUCUGGACACUGCGUGGCGUUGGCGCCUCCCGGAGUGGCGGGCCGGGCGCCGGGUCGGGUAGGCGGAGCCGAGCCCCAGCCCCCGGGACCCUGGCCGAAUCCGGGCGUCCCCGCUGCUGCCUGCACCCCCCGCGUUGCCCGGCGAGUCAGGCUGGGUCCGAGAACCGGGUCCGUUCACCCCGGCAGUUUUUUAUUUUCGGUUUCAAAGACGCAGCCGGACGCUUCUUCCUCUUUUCUCCUCCCGCGCCGCUCCCCUCCCCCUCCGAGCUGCUCUCCGCCUCGCCACCCGGGCUCCCCCGGCUCCCCGCGCUCCCGGCGCCGCCGCCUCCGGCCCGGAGCUCUUACACCCUUCACUCCCUCCCCCAACCCCCCUCCCCCAGUUUCUCUCCAGAUCGCCGAUCCUUUCUUCCUCUACACCCUCCCGCCCCCCUUCCCCGCGGUGGUCCACUCUGAGCCCCGGGAUCCCCCGGGUUAAGGAGAGGAAGGGGCUGCAUGGAGGAGAGGCAAGCCGAGGACGCGGAGCGGCUGAACGCUGCUGGCUGGAGCUCGGACGCGGGCUCUUAGCUCCCCGAGGCGGGAAGUCGAGCACAGCGCGCCGCUCUCGGGCGGGCGGAGCCGAUCCCCCACGUCCGGGGCCUGUGGCUGGUUUGGCGCAGUAGGAUGCGAGUUCUCUGAGAUGGCUCCAGCUUUCCCCACACCCCCACCCUAAGCAGACAACCAAAAACAACCGUCAUAGGAGAGAUGGACUGGUGAAACACAUUCAAUCAUGAAUCAUAACACGGGAAUUUCAUUUCUGGACAACAAAGGAGAGACUCUUUUGAGGAGUUUUAUAUGUCCAUGUGACUUUGAGGCUCAAACCUGAAACUUCAGAUAUGGAAGUCCUAUGCUUUUCCAGCCAAGCUGCAUUUUUAAACAGAGAAAAAUGAUUGUCUACUGUGGAUCAGCCAAUUUGCGCCAGGAACAUACAGGGAAGGUCACUGUACUACUUAAACCUGCUUUUGUGUCCCACCCCAUGAUGUCUUAGGAUACAAGCUUUCUCCCUCAGGUAACUCUUGAUUAUCAAAGCUCCAUGAGUAAUUCCCCAAUAUUGUACAUGUCUAAACUGAGAAUCACAAUGGUUUAAGUCAAAAGACACCAAAGCAAUAUUUAAAAACUAUUAUUUGAGUAUAUAUGACAAAAAAUAGCUUCUGAAAGGUAUGAACAUUAUGUAAAAGAGUAAAGAGAUAACCAAGAAGAAAAAAUGAGCAAACAUAUACUAAAGGAUAUGCAAAUAGUAAAAUGACGAAAUUACACAAGGAACACUAUUCAGUUCAUUGAAGCAAAUGAUUGUAAUAGAAACAAUGGCAUAUAUCUAGAGGUGUGGCAAAAAUAAAAUGAGUAAGGGUGGGGUAGAUAGCAUAAUGAUUAUGCAGAGGGACUCUCAUACCUGAGGCUCCAAAGUCCCCGGUUCAAUUCACUGCACCACUAUAAGCCAGAGCUGAAUAGUGCUCUGGUAAAAAUAAAAUAAAAUAAAAUAAAAUAAAAUAAAAUAAAAUAAAAUAAAAUAAAAUAAAAUGAGUGAUGAUGUUGACAAAGCUCAUAGUAAACAGCUUUUCUUAGACAUAUGUAACUUUAUAUAAAUAACUGUAGAAAACAAUACAUUAUUUUCAAAAUUGCAUGUGCAUAUUUGUGACCCUGCAG